UAGUGAACAAAGCAUUUCACAGUCCACUGUACGAUCCUCAAUCAGAAUACAGAUUUCACAGGAACUCGGAGGCAUUCUUCUUCUGGUAUAAUGAUCGGAGAAUUGUGAUUUCUAUGGUUCACAAAACGGGGCCUAAUUAUUUAGUAGACGUGGAUGAACAUUACUUUUACUACCUCUUAGGGAUGGGUUACUAUACUUUUCUUGGGUAUCUAUGAAGAUGUCUUCAUUUCAGCCAUGUCAACUAAUAUUUGUGACUUCUAUCUAUUGCUUUUAUGAAUACCUAUGCCCAUCUCCCCACAAGGGUCCCAGUGCCCAGGGCACUUCCACCCAGAACAGCUCACACCAGGCCUUUGCCAUGUCACUCUCAGCCUCCUCCCAUCUUCUCCACGUUCCAGGGAUCUGUGGUCCCUUCCUACACGUGGGGUUCCCUCACCCUGCCCUCAGACCCCAGAAUUCAGGCUCCCACACCCCACAGCCCCAGAGGCAGAAGGAUACCCUCUCCUCCCUGCACCAAGGCCCACUUCCCUUUUCCCAUCCUGGAAAGCAACAGUGGAAGCAUCCGUUUUCUUCAGAGAACUUUCCAUUCCACCACAGGGUGGGGCUCCCCAAGGCCUCGGCAGGGCUGUCACAGUGCCACUUACUCAGCCCUCACUAGUGGCGUGUGACAUACUGACAGUCCUGGCCACGUGGCCCUGCCACGCACAGGCCACUUCUCACAGUCUGUCCUCCACGUGAGGCAAAGCCAAGGUCAGGCCUGUGCACCCCACCUCCCGGCAGGGCCGGAGUCAUGAUAUCCUGUGGGUAAAUCUGUGUUGGAGCUGGCAGACAUCUCCUGAGAGCAGAUACUUCUCAGAAACAAUCCUGUAUAAACUCACAUCAAAGGGAGAAAAGCCAACCACCUUCUGCAAAGGCGGGUCUGGCUGGUGAGACUCUGAUCUACUUUACUAAUUAGGAAGGACUGACGACUGGGAUUUGGAGACAUUUCUCUAGUUAAAAUCUACCCCAAAAUGAUGGCAGGCACUCACCUAACAUCUGCAUGACUGAAAAAGUCCCCGACCUCUCCUGAUACGAAGGGCCCUUCCCCAGAGAUAAAUUCCAGCUUCCUCCCUAAAAUACACAUCUGAUCCUUGGGGUGUCCUUUUUUUUUUUUCAACCUGCUUCCACAAUUUUAAGAUGUCCAGCAAUGGGAGAAAACUGCUAGGAAAUUCAAAAGUGCAGUUUAUCUCCAGUGAGGUGUUAGUAAUAGAAAAGGGAAACAUGGUGAGGAGGCCAGAUUCUGAGGACAAAGGGGACAUUUUCUGCUCCAGACACGCCAGGCUCAAGGUGACAUCAAGAAAUACAAGCAGAGCAUCCAAGAGGCAGGACUAGGGUGUAGGGAGGACAGAGGCCUGAGAUUUGGGAGUCACUUUCCAGAAGCUGGAAUCAAGCCCUGGUGUGGAAGCAUUCUCCUGCACUUAGGGAGGGAGAUUAGAACAUCUCCAUUUUUAGGGGCUAAGAUAGAAAGUAGGCGGCAUCCGGUCAAAGGCUCUUGAGGUCUGACUCUCAAAAAAGCCAGAAAUGUCAGACUGUCUGAACACGAGGCCCUGAGUGGUCCAACUUGAUAUCCGCAGGCUUACAUCAAAAACAGACUUCAGAACUGCCAGGGAAGAUGAUGGAGAAGUGCAUCUGACCUUACUCAGCUCUGCCUAUUGCAUGAGUCAAGCUCUUUGUGGCUCACUGUUUGUUUAAUGGGGUCCACAGUGAUGGAUUCUUGGUGAUGUACCCUUCGUGACCCAAAUUCAAAAGUGGACAUUCAAGUCAGCUCCCACAAAAGCUGCUGCAGAGCCCCAAGCGUUCAGGUCCCCAGUGCGAAUGGGUAGAAUCAUCACUCAGGCUUGUGGGGACUCAGUGAUGCCAAAAUGUGUUUUAAGGGCAUGUUGGUCACCAUAUCAUUCUUGGGCAGGAUUGCGGGACCUUCCCAGAUGUUACGAAAUUAAAGAUGGAGAUGGUAGUUGAGUAAUCACUUUUCAGCCCUAAAGUGCAAAGUUGUUUUUCUUUCAAAAUUCCAGCUUGUCUCCUCUGUCUGAAAGACCCACUUUUUCAGCAGUCCAGCCGAUGACAUCACUGGAGUAGGAGUUAUGUAAUUUAAGGCCACCACACUUCCAUAGGGCUUCCCAGAACAGAAGAUAUCUCCAGAGGCCACUCUCACCAUCAGAAAGCCCAGCUGAAGUUGCGACCUCUUUCACUUUGGAUGCUUUUCCAGAAGAGGAGGAGGAAGGAUGUUUGAAACAGGAGAGUACCUCCGGCAGCUCUUUACCUCAAGGUCGCAUGAAACAUGGAGAAGCUGAAUGCAGUCAUCAGAGCUCCGUGUGGACUCUGACCAGUUACAGUCUACAAAUUCCAAUUUAUAAAAAUCAAAUUGGUCUCCCCAGGAUCGCUUACAAAAUUUCAUAAUGCCAAUAACUGGUUGGGUUAUUUGUGGAUUGAAAACAGUAUCUUAUGAUGUGAUUGGGUUGACAUCCUUUAAUAUCUAUGUCUGUAUUUCAAAUGCCUUUAUCAUCACCUCACUGUUGAAGUUGGAAUUAAUUUGAAGAAGGCUAAUUUGUUGAAGAAGUAGCAUGCACCAGUGUUCUAAUGUGCAGAACUCAGAAAGUAUCACAUAGAAAUUACAGAAGCGAUCAUGUCUAGUAGACUUGCCCAAUGUCACUCUUGACUUUUUCAGGUAAGAUCAAAUAUGACUAAACAUAUCAAUAGCUGCUGGGUUUUGACCACGUACUACGUGCCAGGCAAAUAUCAGAGCUAAGACUCGGAACCAACAAAGGAAGCUUUCUCCUCUCUGGCCAACUUUACGUAAACACAGGCAGCAGCUGGUAAAGACGACCUCCUGAAAAUAGGCUCGGCUUGAGCAAACACGUGCCGUGGCCACGGACCCAGCCGGGUCCCAUGGGAUGGCGGGCCGUGUCUGCUGAACCAAUCAGAUUCAAGCUGAAGUAAGAGGUUUCUGCUGGUGGCAUAGGUGACAGUUCCUGGUUUCCUGGGCAGGGUGAAGCCUUGACCCGUGUAUUACUGUCCAUUUGCUGUUGUAACAAAUUAGCACAAAGCUAGCGGCUUCAAACAACACAAGUGUGUUAUCUGAUAUUCCUGGAGGUCAGAGGUUCAAAAUCAGCCUCACUGGGCUAAAGCCAAGGUGUUGGCUAGGGUUGUUCUCCUUCUGGAGGCUCGAAGGGAGAAGCCGUUCCUUGCUUUUUCUGACUUCUAGAGGCUGCCUGUGUUCCUUAGCUCAUGGCGCCUCCUCCAUCUUCCAAGCCAAUGGCAUAACAUCUUCUACUCUCCUCCUGCCUUUGACCGCCCCCUACCUCCCUCUUUUACUUAUAAAUGAAAUCACUUUCACUCGUGAUGACGUCAAGCCCACCUCCAUAAUCCAGCAUCAUCUCCCCAUCUCAAGAUUCUUACCUCAACCCCAUCUGCAAAGUCCCCUUUACCAUGUAAGGGAACAUAUUUGCAGGUUCCAGGGACUAGGAUGUGGACACCUUUGGGGACCAUCAUUCUGCCGACUGCACGGCUCUGGGGUACAACAGCCCAUGUUUUGGUCUGGCGGUGCCCGGGCAGCCCCUGCCUCUUGCUGACCUGUGGUCCCUCAGGAGCACACAGGAGCCAGGCCCCCUCCACUGCCUCCCAAAGCUACCCUUUCCUGCCCAGACACCCACACUUCAGAGGGGACUCGACCCCUGUCUCACACGUUCAAGGUGACCUGGAGGAGGAAAGGGAGGGAAGCAAAGCAGACCACAUCCGGGGUCUGUCUCAGCAUCCACAACGAACCGCUCCCCUCCUUCCAGCUUCUCCUUAAACCUCCUGGUGGUGAAAGCUCCAAGGCUGGAGACGAACAAGAAUCCCACUGCCAAGAAGCCAGGCCCUCCUGGAACUCGGCUUUCCGGAAUUUUAGUUCCUUAGUUUCCUAGUGUGCUAGGUGCCAGGUAAUCCCUGAACUGUUCCUCAGCUCAGGAAGAGCAGAAAAGGGGUCUCUUGGUACUUUCCAACCUCGUGUUCUGACACCAGAGUAGCCCACAUGAAGGAGAGGUUGCUUACACUCGGAGGGACCAGGACACUUUAUCGUCACAUUAUUACUACCGUGGUCAUCACCAUUAUUAUUGUCGUGGUGGUCAUCAUCAUUUGAGCUUCAUAUUUGAUGCUUUGCAGCCUACAAGGGGAUUCUACAGGUAUAAUCUCCUUCAAGCUUCACCAUGACUCUUUGUAAUAACUGCCGUUAUUCCCAUUCUACAGACGAACAAACUGAGGCUCAGAGAAGUUAUCUGACUUGCCCAGAAUCACAGUUUGGUGACCCCAGGACCCAAGUCCAGGCUCCCUAACACCAGGCCCAUUCUGUUUAUGGUCAUAGCACGCUAGGUAAAAGAGGUCUGACCCUGAGCUGGGCCUGGAAGAAGAGCCAUGUAUAAACAGACUGGCUCCUACCGCCGUAUGAAUGUAGGCAAGUCACUUCACUUCUCUUCACCUCUGUUUGCCCAUCUGUACAAUGGGCACAAGACAGCCAUCCCUCCUCCCAGGCAUGUUGUCAGGAUCAGGUUACCUGAAGCCCAGCACAGCCCACAGAUCACAGGUGUGGCUGACAGUGAAGGGUCGGGUCUGGCAUCAGGGGCUUACUCUGCAGCCCCAGCGUCGGUGGGAGAUUGGGGCUGAGACAGAGAUGCUUGGGUUUUCCAUGGCACAUAGAGCUUCCUUAGCACGUGCAGCGAAGCACACGGGAAGGAAUGGCAUGAGGCCCAACGGCAGUCUUCGGAAGCAGCUCCCACAUGUGUGUGUAGGACAAGGGGGCUGCCAGGGGGAGGGGGCGCGGAGGGGCCCCCAGGUAUCUGAGUGUAUUGCUUUCCUGUGGCUGCCAAAGCAAUCACUACAAGACACUUAAAACCGAUUAUGUUAUAUUGAUGGAGUUAUGAAGCAGUUCUAAUCAAAAGCUAUUUUUAAAAAAUAUGUAUAUUUAAUUAUACAUACAUGUAUGCCUAUGUACACACACACCCCCCCCAACUAAUUGGUUAUAUUACAUUAAUGGAGCUAUAAAGCAGCUCUAGUCAAAAAUAUUUCUUCCAGAAAAGUCUAAAUGUAUUCAUCCAUCUACAUAUAUUAAGGCAAAAUGAAAGAUUUUCUUUAUGCUAAUUAACCGAACAUUGAAAAAUAACGUAAGCAAAAUAAUUAGUUUGGGCACAUAUGCAAGUGCUACAACUAGCUUCUUGGGCUUGCACCUGACUCUCAUACGUCUUUGGCAUUUUCCAGAGAAUGUAUUUUUCUCUCAAUAUGGUCUUAUUGUUUUUAAUGGUUCCAUAUAAUGGCCUGAACUUUUUUUCCUUCAAAUUUUAUGGUUCAUAAAUUUAAAUUAGCACCUUCAAUGGACUCUUCUCUUGGACCAGAAAAUAUUUAAUGAAGAAAAUGUUCUCUCUGCAGGUGUUGAGGUAUCUGAUAAACUCUGAGCAAAUUCUGCCAAGCAGAGGCUAUUCUCAAGUCUAAUUCUUUGCAUAUGGAAUUAGGUAAAUAUUUCAGCCCAGAUAUUUUCACGGGUGCUGUCUUUUUGCCUUAGUUCGAGCUCCUUCAACAAAUAUUUUCACCACAUUAAACUCUUCAGGUAAGUUGUAGCUAUUUAUAAGUUUUGAUUGCUUUGUCAGAUUUAGAUGUGGCAGAUCAGGGGCUGUCCCAAUUUCAUCUCAAUUUUGUACAAAAUAUGAACUUCUCCAAUUGAAAAGAUGCUUCCCACAAAUUGAGACAUCCCAAAGCUCAUUAUAAAAUUCAACAAUUAAACCUUGUGCACCAUUUGACCACUCAUCGCUUAGUUUGAUCAUUUUCUCCCGUGCCUUUUUAGCUAUAAAUUUCAAUUAUUUUCUGCAUAAAAUUUUGUUUUCAAUAACUACAAUCUGCUAAAGGUUCUAAAAGCUGCUGCUUCAGUGCUCCACUCAUUGAAUACUUGUUCGAAGAUUCCUCAUCGAUUUGGAAAAAAUUCUACAAAAUUUCUCAACUCUGCUGUAACAAAUAGUUGAGUAACAUUUUACAGCACUUAGUGUCUUCUAAAAUUGAUUUACGAUGGGCGGCAGAGAAAGAAAAUGCACGCUAGAGUUGUUUUAAUUCCUCAUCCAGGGAAUUCCCUGGCGGUCCAGUGUGUAGGACUCUGUGCUUUAAUUGCCGAGGGCAUGGGUUUGAUCCCUGGUUGGGGAACUUCACAAAGAUUUCACAAGCCCCACGGCACGGCCAAAAAAAAAUUCCUCAUCAACUUCAGCACAAAAGUUCGUAGUUCAGUAAUUCUGAACUACAAAUCUUAUGUUUUAGGAUUUUGUAAAUCUUGUCAAAUAUAACCUCCAUAUCAAUUGGUAAAAUACUGAAACUCGUUUAUAUGCAAUUACAAAUUGUGUGUGCAAAGUUACACAUUCAUCAUUGACUUCCCUGAGAGACAGAAGUUCAGGACUUAAAUUGUCAUUAAACGUUCUUUUUUUGCUCAUUGUUGCCAGAAGGACUCAUUGCAAAAUUGAAAAGUAUUGCCAAAUAACAAAAUAAAUACUUCAUUGUGGAUUUAUGCCCUGAAAUCAAUGACAGAAGAAGAGUGUCCUUUCUCCUCCAUACGCUCUGGGUCAGAACCCUGUAAGCCACAGAUAUGUCAUAGCCUCCUAACCCUUCAUUUCCCAUGUCCUCUGCUGACCUGUCAGCUGGCAGCCCAGCAGCUGAUUCUCUUCUCUGCCUGCACUCUCCCUUGUGCUUUCAUCCAGUCCUGUGGCUUUAAAUACCAAAUACCAUCCAUGUGAUUACAACUCCCAAUGAUGUAUCGCUGUAUCAGACGUGGUCUCCCAACACCAGUGCUGUGUAGCCAACUGCCCCAGUAU